rnacentral:tRNA from 1 species
GGCCCUAGAGCACGGUCUGGUAGUGCUACGGACUCUUAAUCCGCAGGUCGUAGGUUCAAAUCCUACUGGGGCCA